rnacentral:rRNA from 1 species
CCAGACUCCUACGGGAGGCAGCAGUGAGGAAUAUUGGUCAAUGGCCGGAAGGCUGAACCAGCCAAGUCGCGUGAGGGAAUAAGGCCCUAUGGGUCGUAAACCUCUUUUGUCAGGGAGCAAAGGCGUCCACGAGUGGACGAAAGGAGAGUACCUGAAGAAAAAGCAUCGGCUAACUCCGUGCCAGCAGCCGCGGUAAUACGGAGGAUGCGAGCGUUAUCCGGAUUUAUUGGGUUUAAAGGGUGCGUAGGCGGGGUUUCAAGCCAGGGGUAAAAUUGGGGGGCACAACCCCGCCGUGCCGUUGAAACUGACACCCUUGAGUGAGUGAGAAGUAAGCGGAAUGCGCGGUGUAGCGGUGAAAUGCAUAGAUAUCGCGCAGAACUCCGAUUGCGAAGGCAGCAUGCCGGCUCCACACUGACGCUGAGGCACGAAAGCGUGGGUAUCGAACAGGAUUAGAUACCCUCGUAU